rnacentral:rRNA from 1 species
AUUGAACGCUGGCGGCAGGCCUAACACAUGCAAGUCGAACGAGUGGCGGACGGGUGAGUAAUGUCUGGGAAACUGCCUGCUGGAGGGGGAUAACUACUGGAAACGGUAGCUACUACCGCAUACCAUCAGAUGUGCCCAGAUGGGAUUAGCUAGUUGGUGGGGUAACGGCUCACCAAGGCGACGAUCCCUAGCUGGUCUGAGAGGAUGACCGGCGAAACUGGAACUGGGACACGGUCCAGACUCCUACGGCAGGCAGCAGUGGGGAAUAGUGCACAAUGGGCGCAAGCCUGAUGCAGCCAUGCCGGGGGUAUGAAGUAGGCCUGCGGGUUGUAAAGUACUUUCAGCGGGGAGGCGUUACCCGCAGAAGAAGCACCGGCUAACUCCGUGCCAGCAGCCGCGGUAAUAC